GCUCCUCCAGUAGCUAACCCUUGACCAGCAGGUUGACCCCAGGAGGCCUGAGCUUCCUUCAGAGCUUCCCAUCCCGAUUUUGUGCACCCCAUGGGCUCAGUCUCUCCCAUGCCUUUGUCUGAGCGUCCUCCUCCACCCCACCCCCCUGUUUGAAGGUUCCACUCCCUCCCCCUUCUUCCUUUCUCCCUCUCCGAAGGCCCUGGGCUGGCUCUCCAGCUUGUCGCUGGUUUUAUUUGAUCACAGUGGCACGUGUCAUGGUGUGACCAGCUGGGAAGCGUAUCUUGCAUUGCUUGGGGUCCGACCCCAGCUCUGGGGCUUUCUUGCUGUGUGAUCUUGGGAGACGGCUUUGCUGCUCUGAGCCUACCUCCCUCUCCUGAAAACCCAUAAUAAUAACUACCUCUUGCAGCGAGGAGGCACAGUGGAACGCGGGGCCUACGUGUGCCCAGCACUUGGCAAGCACCCCGGGAAGGAAUUAGGAAGGGCAGGAGUUACAUCAUUCACUUCUUUUUACAGCUGAGAAAACAAACAGAGGCUCAGCGAGGUAAAGCCGGUUGCCCAAGGUCACACAGCUCCUAGCACGGCAAGGACGGGAGCCAAGGUUGUCCAGUGCUCUAACUGCUGGCACCUCCGGCCGCCGGUCUGCUCCCGCUCUACCUCUCCCCGACCUCCGUGGCCCUCGGGCGCCUGAAGCCGCGUGGGGGCCGCGAAGGCAGGCGGCUUGGCCAGGGGAGAGCCCGAGAGGCGCAAAGGGUUAACGGGCUCCGCCGCAUUGGGCCGGCCUCCGGCGGAACCAGCCAAUGGGCACGCGCGGCGAUGAGGACGAUUCUGGAAGAGACGCUGCAGGAGAACCAGGAAGGCCCUGUUGUCUCCAGGCUGUCCCAGGCUGGCCCACCGGUCUCGGUCCCCUACCUCCUGGAGAGUUGGACAGAGUGGAAAGAAUGUCAGUCACCAGGUGACCCAAGCUGUGGAUAUAGCCUCAUUUCCAUCCCAUGGGGCAACUCCUGUCCCCUCCUUGGUUCCUGGGCUCCUCAUCUGCAGGAUGAAAGACGUGGACUAGAUUGUCCCAGGGUGCCCAUGCUGAUGGCCAGCAGACCUGCCCCUGCACUUGGCCAGACUUCUCAUUCCAGAGGCUGAACAAGGGUGCGGGGUGCCAGGCUUGCCUCUGGCUGCUCUCUGAAUGUGACCUGGCCUUCCAGCACCAACACAGUCCCCACAGGAAACUCAGACCAGUAAGGCCUCAACACACACCCACUGACCACUCCCCAAAUGUCACAUGCCAGACUAGACAUUGGGACAAAGAGAUGCAGCGAACGACGUACUUACUGUUCUUUUCACAGAAACUGCACUUGGGAGGGGAGAGUCCUUUUAGUAAACUCAAAAUUACCUGAGAUUAUGCAAAGGAGGAGAGGGACCAGCCAGGACCCCAAGUGUUGGCCGUAGUGAGGGCUGUCCUCAGAAGUGACCGCUAAGUGACAGGGGUGGCCACAGGCAAAGGCUGCUCCAAAACGGGAACAGGAAGGGCAGGGGCCUGUGGAGAGAGCUCCUACCCAGAAAGAGGCAGCGCUCGCAUGAGUGACGGGGAGCCCGGGGAACGGGUCCCAGGAGGCCGGGUGCCAGGACAAGGGACCCAGCCCCCAGACAGAACCCAGGAACAUCUGAGAUGCGAUAAGCAGGGGAAUUACCAGAAUGGAUUUCUGCUCAGAAAAUCUCAGAGAAGAGUGUGGGCCCUCAUUGCUGCUUUAAGUGACUUUUAUUGUGUGUGGCUUAAAUAUCUACAAACGAAAAAGGAGACAUAAAGUCCUGGUAGCUUUUAUACAACUAUAAAACCAAGACAGAUUGAUCAGUCAAAUACAAAAUCAAUUCACAUCAGAUUAAUCUGAUGUGACAUAUUAUGUCUUUUGCUUGAAACCCUGUCACCACCCACAGAGUAAAUAUGGCCCAACCACGGUGGUGCUCAGUUUGUGACAGAGACGACCGGCCUUCUACACACACGCGCACGUGUGUGUGCCACAAAUGGUCUUCCCCUCAGAAUAGGUAAAGAACUUCUACCAAUCAACAAGAGGAGGAGGAGAAGGAGACCACAAACGUGGCUGCAAGGAAAAAAAAUCGGGGAGGGGCGUGGCACUAACGUCCUUCACAGCACAAUUUCCAAAUGGUCGGCAAAUGCAUGCAACGUCCGCGGCUUGGGGAUGUCUCAAUCAGAGCGAAAUAUCUUAGACGCCAUAAUUUAUAAGCAACAGGAUUGGCUGCUCACGGUGCUGGAGACAGGGGAGCCCGAAAUCCAGGUACCAGCAGAGCCCCGGGACCCCUGAGGACAGCUGCAGUCCAAAGCCACUCCCCACCUCCUUCUCGGCCGCGCCCCUGCCUAUAAUUGCCACCCAGCAGUCCCUUGGCUCCCAAUGGGUCUGUCCACCCUGCACUGCCGCGACACACACACACACACUCACACACACACACACUCACACACACACACACUCACACACACACAGUCACACACACACACACGCACUCACUCUCACACACACACACUCACACACACACACUCACACACACACACACUCACACACUCACACUCUCACACACACACACACACACUCACACACUCACACACACACACAGCAUCCGUGGGUUCAUAAAAAGACGCACCGUUCGUAAGAACCCAGACUGAAGUGAAUCCCAACGCCCUUCAGGAGCCGAGGACAGACAGCGAGCCGGCCCUUCCCACCCUGGUGACCUGGUGACUGACCAGCAGGGGAGGGACGACCUGGGCGCCAGAGCAGACGAAUCUCAGCCCCACCGGGGAGUCCACGUAUGGAAGGGGAAAGCAGGGCAGAGGCCACCCUCUGGAGUGGCAGGACGUCGGUGUCCAGGCUUGGAGGAGGGGAGCCCAGAGGACUGAGCGGUCCCGACCUUAGGGAAGCAGCACUCUUCCUCCUGUGUAAUUGCGGUGUCCCAGAGCCAGCGGUGGGCCAAGGGGAGUGAGAAGCGCUCCGGGCCCCUCUGGCCCUUCCUGCGCAAAGACCACCCGCUGCGAGCAUAGCCUGGGUCGGUACCCGCCCUGGGGCGGUGUGGAACCAGCUCUUCCUGCUGCAGCCCCUGGCCUUGCCCUCCCCGACCCCCUGUGGACUCGGGGCAGAGGCACGGGGCAGAGGAGGCCUGUUGGCCCCAGGACGGCCAGGGGCAGAGGGGAGAAAGGGACAAGGGCCUGAAUCCCAGGACCCCCUUCAGGGGCACCCAGCGACCUAACUUCCUUCCCCUAGGCCCCACCUCCCACAGGGUCCACCAGCUCCCAAUGGCACCACAGGCUCUCAGGGACCACGCCAUUGACCUGGGCCUCCGGGGACACUUACCUAAACCACAGCAGCUGCUCCAGCAGGGGUCACCCUAUGCUCCCCUGCAUUAGCACAGUGCACUGUCCAAUAGUGUCACACUUCAUGACAGUGUAAGAGCCUCACUAAAGCAUGAAGCUAUGACCAACCUCCUCUCUGUCAUUUAUGAUAUUGUGGUCACAUACUUUAUUUUUACAAUGUUAUCCCAGAAUGCAUUAUUAUUUUUGCUUGAGAGAAUUGACUAAUUUUUAAAGAGUUAAGAAAAAUAGCCUUUUGUAUUUAUUAACACAUUCACCAUAUCCAGUACUUUGGGUUUUGUUCCUAUAAUUCUGAAAUUUCACCUGACAUCAUUUUUCUUUAGUAUAAAGAUCUUUAUUUGGGUCUGGUUGUAGCUCAGUGGUAAAUAAUUUGUCUAGCAGGUGUGAGGCACUGGGUUUGAUUCUCAGCACCACUUAUAACAAAUAAAAUAAGAAUUCAACAACAACUUAAAAAAUUGUUUUUUUAAAAAAAUCUUUAUUUAACCUUUCUUAUACCAAAGUUCUAUUGGUAACAAAUUCUCCAAUUUCAUUUAUCCAGUGUUUUUAUUUUUCCAUUUUGAAAGAUAUUUUCAUGGACACCAUUCUAAAUGGACAGCUAGGCCCGGUGGUGCACAUCUGUAGUCCCAUCAGCUCAGGAGGCUGAGAUAGGAGGAUUGCAAAUUCAAAGCCAGCCUCAGCAAAAUAGAGAUGCUAGGCAACUCAGUGAGACCCUGUCUCUAAAUAAAAUACAAAGUAGGGCUGGAGAUGCGGCUCAGUGGUCAAGCGCCCCUGGGUUCAAUCCCCAGUAUAAAAAAGAAAAAAAAAAAUUCUAAAUGGACCAGCUCUUUCUUUCAUUGCUUGUAAGAUACUGUUCCAUUGUCUUCUGACUUGCAUUGUUUUUAGGUGAAGUCUGUGGUUUUUCCCUUACUGUUUUCCUAUGCCCAAUUUAAAAUAUUUUCCCAAGCUACUUUUUAGACACCCACCCCUUCUGGUUUCAGUAGUGUAACCGUGAUGUGCUUAAGUGUGAUUUUUUUGUAA
rnacentral:lncRNA from 1 species